CUCCCACCCUGGGUUCCCGCACCUUGAAGGCGGAGAAGGCACCUCUGCUGCAAAUGUUUCAACACUGAGACUAGCAUCUCCGUCCUGGAGCCUAGUGCAGAUAAGGCGGCGAAAAAACCGCACUCACGAUGAAAUGUUCUCUGAGCUCAUGCAGUCCACCUGAACUGAAAGAGUCCAGCAGAAUGCGUGGAGGCAGA